GUCCUUAACUGGCAGAGGAGACACCAUGAUCAAGAAGAUGGUUUUCCCAGGGCUAGUGAGGCUCAUCCAUUACACUUGGGAUGUGCUGACCCCUGUAAUUUCCCCUAAUGCAGGACACCUGACUGCCUAAUAUGUGAUAGUGGUGGAUUGCAUUUGAGCAGUCCCUUG
ensembl:snRNA U1 U1 spliceosomal RNA